GAUGAGCCUGCGUCUGAUUAGCUUGUUGGUGGGGUAAAAGCCUACCAAGGCGACGAUCAGUAGCCGACCUGAGAGGGUGAUCGGCCACACUGGAACUGAGACACGGUCCAGACUCCUACGGGAGGCAGCAGUGGGGAAUAUUGCACAAUGGGCGCAAGCCUGAUGCAGCAACGCCGCGUGAGUGAUGAAGGCCUUCGGGUCGUAAAACUCUGUCCUAAGGGAAGAUAAUGACGGUACCUUAGGAGGAAGCCCCGGCUAACUACGUGCCAGCAGCCGCGGUAAUACGUAGGGGGCAAGCGUUAUCCGGAAUUACUGGGCGUAAAGGGUGCGUAGGUGGCCUGACAAGUCAGGGGUCAAAGGCAACGGCUCAACCGUUGUAAGCCCUUGAAACUGUCGGGCUUGAGUUCAGGAGAGGAAAGCGGAAUUCCUAGUGUAGCGGUGAAAUGCGUAGAUAUUAGGAGGAACACCAGUGGCGAAGGCGGCUUUCUGGACUGAUACUGACACUGAGGCACGAAAGCGUGGGGAGCAAACAGGAUUAGAUACCCUGGUAGUCCACGCCGUAAA
rnacentral:rRNA from 1 species